rnacentral:rRNA from 12 species
UUAGAGAGUUUGAUCCUGGCUCAGGAUGAACGCUGGCGGUAUGCCUGACACAUGCAAGUCGAACGAAAAGAUUUUAUCUUUUAGUGGCGCACGGGUGAGUAACGCGUAAGAAUCUGCCUUUAGGUAGAGAAUAACAACUGGAAACGGUUGCUAAUACUCUAUAUGCUGAGAAGUGAAAUAUUGUACGAUUAUUGUACUUUGCCUGAAGAGGAGCUUGCGUCUGAUUAGCCUGUUGGUAAGAUAAUAGCUUACCAAAGCUAUAAUCAGUAGCUGGUCUGAGAGGACAAACAGCCACACCGGAACUUAGAUACGGUCCGGACUCCUGCGGGAGGCAGCAGUGAGGAAUUUUCCGCAAUGGGCGAAAGCCUGACGGAGCAAUACCGCGUGGAGGAUUAAAGCCCAUGGGUUGUAAACUCCUUUUCUUAGAGAAGAAGUUCUGACGGUAUCUAAAGAAUAAGCAUCGGCUAACUCCGUGCCAGCAGCCGCGGUAAUACGGG